AUGAUUAGCGGAGCGGUGCUUCGUGCUGACGGAGUGCCCCACCAUUUCCAGGUUGUCUUGGUAGGCAACAGUGGCAUACAUCAUUCACAGGCUGUGGCCUCGGUGUACUCGUCGGACACUGGUGUAUGGAGCAAUCUCGUGUCGACGCUGCUUCCGGCCAACGAUCCUGAUGUACUCACCAUGGUUUACCAUGACAUGUGCUCUGUGAUGGUUGGGAAUUCCCUGUACUGGUUCCUUAUAGGGAAUUUCUGUGGAAUACUUGAAUUUAAUUUGGAUAAGCAGAGCCUUAGUGUGAUACAUGCGCCAGUGGACGUCGAUGUCAACACUUGCUCCGUCACCGUUAUGCGGGCAGAGGGUGGUGGUCUUGGUUUCCUCUUCCUGUCAGACUACUGCGUCCAAGCAUGGAAGUGGAAGACGGACUGUGAUGGUGUAGCUUCAUGGAUGCUGGAAAGAACUGUUGCACUAGAUAAGCUACUUUCCAUGAAUUCAGAGGAGGGGAGUCAGAGCCCAAGGAUACUCGGGUUUGCUGAGGACAACAAUGUGGUGUUACUGUGGACAUUUAUAGGCGUUUUCCAGGUCCAGUUUGAAUCAUUGCAGUUUAAGAAACUUCUCGAAUCCUACCGCUUUUACCGCUGGUUUCACUAUUAUCCAUUUGAAGGUGUCUAUACUGCAGACGCGGGCAUAAUGUGA
rnacentral:rRNA from 1 species